GGGCCUGUAGCUCAGUGGCUAGGGUGCUAGUCACAUACACCAGAGCUGGCAGGUUCGAAUCCAGCCUGGACCU
rnacentral:tRNA from 1 species